rnacentral:rRNA from 1 species
GGGUCAGUAGGUCGGUCGUGCCACCGGUACGUACUGGUCUCACUGAUUCCUCCUUCCUGAAGAACCGUAAUGCCAUUAAUUUGGUGUUGCGGGGAAACAGGACUGUUACUUUGAAAAAAUUAGAGUGUUUAAAGCAAGCUAGCGCUUGAAUACAUUAGCAUGGAAUAAUGAAAUAGGACGAUCGAUCCUAUUUUGUUGGUUUCUAGGAUUGACGUA